rnacentral:ncRNA from 1 species
CCGUAACUAUAAACCGGACCAAUUGUAGUUACGUAAAAAAAUCUAACUAAAUGCUGGAAACUCCUUAGAGCCAUAUCACCCAAACAGUAAUCCGAAAGGAUAAGCUGAGAGGUUAGAAAAGAUACGGAUUGGACAAUCAGCAGGAAAGACUCCUAAGUCAAAAUCGAUAUGGAGAAUCCUCAGAGACUAUACGUUAGAUCCGGCCUACGGCUCGUAUGAGCAAUUGCCGGAAAGAUAUAGUCCGAUCUUCAUGGUAACAUGAAG